ensembl:lncRNA
AUCACUUCAAUCAAAAGUUUAAAACUGCAUCACUAACAUGAUGGCUAAGGCUAACUUAGAUCUAACUUUAAGCUAAUGUUUACUAGUUAACUAUUUUUUUAAUUAUUAAUUAUUAGUUUAGAAAUGAUCUUUCACAUACCUGUAAAGUGCUAUCUUGGAUUCCGAUCGAUUCACGCAGUUGAUAGCAACACAACCAGUCAUUUUCGCAUUGAAUGAUCGAUGACUAUCUUCUCAAGUGAGUUUGGUGGAAAGGCCGAAAUGUUUGCAUGAUCAUCUAUUUAUAGAGAACGGAUCCAUCCACCACUCUCACUGCUAGUUUCAUAUGCGCAUCGUCGGCUCAUCGAAAUCGAAAAGGUACAUUUUAAAGUUUCUUAUGAGUUUUGCAUGAAAUAUAUUUCUUAAUAGAAAUCUAUAAUGUUAAAUAAUGUAAAACAUUACAGCUCUCCAGAAAUAUUAAAGUAAGCUACCAUUGGAUGUCUACAGUGGAUGUUUGCUGGGUACCUUAAUCCUUUUUUCUUAUAUUUAUAUUGUAGCUAUUGCAAAUCAAAUGGAAAAGACAAGGGCUGGACAACCCCUAUUAAAAGGCCGGAAGUGUGGAUUAUCGGGGACAGCUACGUCCGCCGUGGAGAGGAGAGAGCCAGGGAAACCUGUGGCCCCCACCUUGGCCUAGAGGCCUCAUCCCUUUCUUCCUGCAGUCCCUGAGAGGAAGAACAGCCCCGGAUGUCCUGCUCAUCCACUGUGGCGGCAACGACCUCGGACGCCUGGAGGGAGUUGAGGUUGUUGCCGCAAUGAAGCAGGACCUGCAGUACCUCCACCGGCAGUUCCCAGCAAUGCAGAUCGUCUACUCUAACAUCAACGAGGAAGCUAAACCACCCUAGGAAAUGGGUGAACAGUGUGAUGAACGCAUUUGUUAGUGUAGAGCUAGGACGCAACAGCGUAGAGCAUCAUGGAAUAAGGUUUAACUGCUAUGGUUUAUACUUAAAAGACAAGGUUCAUUUCACCAAUAGGGGAAAUUACAUUUUUUUAAAAAGCAUUUCACAGUCUCUUAAAGCGAUAAUCCAGAGUGGGUGAGACUGACACUUUUAGGGCCAAUGCCUUCAGCCUUCUCCACUCUGAAUUGUAAUUUCAACAGUUUUCAAUACUGUAAAAUAUAAUCCAGGUCCUCAAUCUUUAUUCGAUGAUGCUCUUCUCUGCGUAUUUGAUAAAUCAGUAAUUAUAACCUUUUUGGUAAUCAUUUGUGUUUAUCACACUGUUCAUUCAUUUCACUGUUCUUCCUCUCAUUCCUUUCCUUACUUCUUCUUAACCUGUCUUUGUUUCCCCUUCCACUCUUCUGCCCCAGCCAAACAGCCAAAAAAAAGAAAAAAAAAGUGUUUUGUUAAAAUAUCGGGUGGGGGGGUCUUGUAAUAAAAGCUUUUUUUAUUAUAACACUUGGUUCAAAUCCUAUUUCUUACACAUGCAGCCAUUUGGACACCAUUCUAUGAUAGCUGAUAACCAAGGUACACACUGUAAUACUAUAAUCAAGAGGACAUACAGGCAGUUCAAAUAAAAAGAGAUAGAACUUUAUUGAUCUGGAAACUUCAUAAAUAUGUAAGAUUGCCCCAAAUAAUACCAUGGUAACAUAGUAAACGUAUGUAGGCC